CAUGGAUGAACCCUGAGGACAUCAUACUAAGUGAAACAAGCUAGUUACAAAAAUGACUUCCCAAACGUGAGUGCCUACUUAAGUGCCUGGCACAGUUUUCAGCACUGGAGACAUCAAUGGGAACAAAACCGAGGAGGACAGCAUCAUCAAAGGAUCACAAGAUGGGUAUAGAAUUGUAAAUGAAGGUUGGUCCAUGUUGAGUUUUGGAGGGAGGAACAAGGAAGACAGGUUUAUGUAAUAUUUCGCUGCAUCUGGAGGAUAUCAGCCUGACUUCAACUGACUGAGGAGUGGUUGGUG